rnacentral:lncRNA from 1 species
GUACUUUCUUUCUGCCCUGCUUUAUUAUUCUCCAUAGAACACACCCUGGCAUAUGGUAGGCCCUCCAUUGAUGUUUAUUGGAUGUGAAUAAAUGAAUGUGUCAUCAAGAGGAUUUGCGAUGCCCCGCUCGUCAUGGAGAUGUUAGGACUCUAAUAUCCAGUUUCAACUUUCCAACUGGCUUCUUGGAAACUUGUGGCUCCUUCUUAAAAACUGGAGGCAAGUAAGAUCCUAGCCAAAACCAGAGGCCCAAGAGUGAGACAGCCUGGAGACGGGGCCUCCCUCUAUUGCCCAGGCUG